AUUGAACGCUGGCGGCAUGCCUUACACAUGCAAGUCGAACGGCAGCACGGGAGCAAUCCUGGUGGCGAGUGGCGAACGGGUGAGUAAAGUAUCGGAACGUGCCCAUUCGUGGGGGAUAACGUAGCGAAAGUUACGCUAAUACCGCAUACGAUCUAUGGAUGAAAGCGGGGGAUCGCAAGACCUCGCGCGAUUGGAGCGGCCGAUAUCAGAUUAGGUAGUUGGUGGGGUAAAGGCUCACCCAGCCGACGAUCUGUAGCUGGUCUGAGAGGACGACCAGCCACACUGGAACGGAGACCCGGCCCAGACUCCUACGGGAGGCAGCAGUGGGGAAUUUUGGACAAUGGGCGAAAGCCUGAUCCAGCCAUGCCGCGUGCAGGAUGAAGGCCUUCGGGUUGUAAACUGCUUUUGUACGGAACGAAAAGGUUUGGCCUAAUAAGCUGAGCUAAUGACGGUACCGUAAGAAUAAGCACCGGCUAACUACGUGCCAGCCGCCGCAGUAA
rnacentral:rRNA from 1 species